UUUAUGGAGAGUUUGAUCUUGGCUCAGAGUGAACGCUGGCGGCGUGCCUAACACAUGCAAGUCGAGCGAGAUUCUACAGAGUAUCGUAGAGUUUAGCGGCAAACGGGUGAGUAACACGUAGGAAAUCUUCCUUAAAAUGGGGAAUAUCUUCGAGAAAUCGGAGUUAAUGCCGCAUAAGACCACAGUUUGGCAUCAAACAGAGGUUAAAGCAGCAAUGCGUUUUGAGAUGAUCCUGCGGCCUAUCAGUUAGUUGGUAGGGUAACGGCCUACCAAGACUAUAACGGGUAUCCGACCUGAAAGGGCGAACGGACACACUGGAACUGAGACACGGUCCAGACUCCUACGGGAGGCAGCAGUGGGGAAUUUUGGACAAUGGGGGAAACCCUGAUCCAGCGACGCCGCGUGGAGGACGAAGGCUUUCGAGUUGUAAACUCCUUUUAGAGGGAAAGAAAAAAAUGACGGUACCCUCAGAAAAAGCCACGGCUAACUACGUGCCAGCAGCCGCGGUAAUACGUAGGUGGCGAGCGUUACUCGGAAUUACUAGGCGUAAAGCGUAUGUAGGCGGUUAGAUAAGUCUUUAGUGAAAUUUCUUGGCUCAACUGAGAAUAGUCUAAGGAUACUGUUUAACUUGAGUUUGGGAGAGGGAGACGGAAUUCCUGGUGUAGCGGUGAAAUGCUUAGAUAUCAGGAGGAACACCAAUGGCGAAAGCAGUCUCCUGGCCUAACACUGACGUUAAUGUACGAAAGCUAGGGUAGCAAACAGGAUUAGAUACCCUGGUAGUCCUAGCUGUAAACGAUGUUCACUAGAUGUGGGAGGUAUUGACCCCUUCUGUGUCGACGCUAACGCAUUAAGUGAACCGCCUGGGGAGUACGACCGCAAGGUUGAAACUCAAAAGAAUUGACGGGGGUCCGCACAAGCGGUGGAAUAUGUGGUUUAAUUCGACGCACCACGAAAAACCUUACCUGGGCUUGAACUGCUAAUAGUAAGAGCCGGAAACGGCGAUGAUCCGCAAGGAAGUUAGUAGAGGUGCUGCAUGGCUGUCGUCAGCUCGUGUCGUGAGAUGUUGGGUUAAGUCCCGCAACGAGCGCAACCCUUAUCCCAUGUUACCUGUAGAAAUACAGGGUCUCUGAGGAAACUGCCAUUGAUAAAAUGGAGGAAGGUGGGGACGAAGUCAAGUCAUCAUGGUCUUUAUGUCCAGGGCUACACACGUAUUACAAUGGACGGUACAGAGGGUGGCAAUACCGUAAGGUGGAGCAAAUCCCUAAAGCCGUCCUCAGUUCGGAUUGUGGGCUGCAAUUCGUCCACAUGAAGUAGGAAUCGCUAGUAAUCGCAGAUCAGCAGGCUGCGGUGAAUACGUUCCCGGGCCUUGUACACACCGCCCGUCGCACCACGAAAGUCAGUUAUAACAGAAGUCGUUGAGCUAACCGCAAGGAGGCAGACGCCUAAGUUAUGAUUGGUGAUUGGGGUUAAGUCGUAACAAGGUAGCCGUACGAGAACGUGCGGCUGGAUCACCUCCUUU
rnacentral:rRNA from 1 species